GCCAUAUAACGGUUGAAACACCGGUUCUCGUACGAUCACUGAAGUUAAGCAACGUCGAGCCUGAUCAAUACCUAAAUUGAUGACCGCUUGGGAAUACUAGGGGCUGUAA